rnacentral:rRNA from 1 species
AGAGUUUGAUCCUGGCUCAGAACGAACGCUGGCGGCAGGCUUAACACAUGCAAGUCGAACGCGAACGCACCUUCGGGUGUUAUUAGAGUGGCAGACGGGUGAGUAACGCGUGGGUAUCUACCCAAUGGUAAGGAAUAACUCAGGGAAACCUGGGCUAAUACCUUAUAAGCCCCUAGGGGGAAAGAUUUAUUGCCAUUGGAUGAGCCCGCGUCAGAUUAGCUAGUUGGUAGGGUAAAGGCCUACCAAGGCGACGAUACGUAGCUGGUCUGAGAGGAUGAUCAGCCACACUGGGACUGAGACACGGCCCAGACUCCUACGGGAGGCAGCAGUGGGGAAUAUUGGACAAUGGGCGAAAGCCUGAUCCAGCCAUGCCGCGUGAGUGAUGAAGGCCCUAGGGUUGUAAAACUCUUUCACCGGUGAAGAUAAUGACGGUAGCCGGAGAAGAAGCCCCGGCUAACUCCGUGCCAGCAGCCGCGGUAAU